UACGGAGGGUGCGAGCGUUGUCCGGAAUCAUUGGGCGUAAAGGGCGCGUAGGUGGCGGCUUAAGCGUGCGGUGAAAGCUCGGGGCUCAACCCCGAGUCGGCCGUGCGAACUGAGUCGCUUGAGCACUGUAGAGGCAGGCGGAAUUCCGGGUGUAGCGGUGAAAUGCGCAGAUAUCAGGAGGAACACCGGUGGCGAAGGCGGGUCUCUGGGCAACUCCUGACGCUGAGGCGCGAAAGCGUGGGGAGCAAACGGG
rnacentral:rRNA from 1 species